rnacentral:rRNA from 1 species
AUUGAACGCUGGCGGCAGGCUUAACACAUGCAAGUCGAGCGGGGGAAGGUAGCUUGCUACCGGACCUAGCGGCGGACGGGUGAGUAAUGCUUAGGAAUCUGCCUAUUAGUGGGGGACAACAUCUCGAAAGGGAUGCUAAUACCGCAUACGUCCUACGGGAGAAAGCAGGGGAUCUUCGGACCUUGCGCUAAUAGAUGAGCCUAAGUCGGAUUAGGUAGUUGGUGGGGUAAAGGCCUACCAAGGCGACGAUCUGUAGCGGGUCUGAGAGGAUGAUCCGCAACACUGGGACUGAGACACGGCCCAGGCUCCUGCGGGAGGUAGCAGUGGGGAAUAUUGGACAAGGGGGGGACUCCUGAUCCAGCCAUGCCGCGUGUGUGAAGAAGGACUUAUGGUUGUAAAGCACUUUAAGCGAGGAGGAGGCUACUCUAGUUAAUACCUAGGGAUAGUGGACGUUACUCGCAGAAUAAGCACCGGCUAACUCUGUGCCAGCCGCCGCGGUAA